CAGCUAGUGCACAGCUGCUGAGAGGGGAGGUAGAAUGACCCAUCUGAGGAGCUGCGAGAAGGCUGGCUGUGCUGCCCCGUAAGUGUGAGAAGACUGAAAAGGGGAGCCUGGAGGCUGUGAUCAUGUUGCUUCUUUGACCUGAAGGUCCAGGGUAGCCUGGAACCAAUCUAAGCUUCUCUGACUCCUUGGAAUCAGGACUUACCCAGAGGCAGUUCGGGUACAGGGAAGCCACAUUAGAGUAAGAGAAAGUGAAGAAACAGAAGGUAAAACCUCCAUUUCAAAGUCCUUGACAAUGAAAGACAAACUCUGAAAGGUCUCACCAAACUAGGAGGGCUUGGCUCACAGGCCAGACGUGGACCAUGGAUCUGCCAUCUGAGGACCAGCUAUGCUGAACACAGAAAGGCUAAUCCAUCCAUCUGUCCAACCAUCCAGCAAGCAAUAAGCAUUUAUUAAGUGCCUACUAUGUCCCAAGCAUUGUUCUAGGUGCCAGGGAUAGAAAGAAAAAAAUGAAAUGUUGUUGCUAUAAUUCUAGGCAUUUUCUUAAUUGUAUACAAAAUAAAUACACAGUAAAUUUU